rnacentral:rRNA from 1 species
UACGUAGGGUGCGAGCGUUUGUCCGGAAUUAUUGGGCGUAAAGGGCUCGUAGGCGGUCUGUUGCGUCGGGAGUGAAAACUCAGGGCUUAACCCUGAGCCUGCUUCCGAUACGGGCAGACUAGAGGUAUGCAGGGGAGAACGGAAUUCCUGGUGUAGCGGUGAAAUGCGCAGAUAUCAGGAGGAACACCAGUGGCGAAGGCGGUGCUCUGGGCCGGAACUGACGCUGAGGAGCGAAAGCGUGGGGAGCAAACAGG